AACACGUGAGUAACCUGCCCUUGACUCUGGGAUAAGCCUGGGAAACUGGGUCUAAUACCGGAUAUGACUCCUCAUCGCAUGGUGGGGGGUGGAAAGCUUUUGUGGUUUUGGAUGGACUCGCGGCCUAUCAGCUUGUUGGUGAGGUAAUGGCUCACCAAGGCGACGACGGGUAGCCGGCCUGAGAGGGUGACCGGCCACACUGGGACUGAGACACGGCCCAGACUCCUACGGGAGGCAGCAGUGGGGAAUAUUGCACAAUGGGCGAAAGCCUGAUGCAGCGACGCCGCGUGAGGGAUGACGGCCUUCGGGUUGUAAACCUCUUUCAGUAGGGAAGAAGCGAAAGUGACGGUACCUGCAGAAGAAGCGCCGGCUAACUACGUGCCAGCAGCCGCGGUAAUACGUAGGGCGCAAGCGUUAUCCGGAAUUAUUGGGCGUAAAGAGCUCGUAGGCGGUUUGUCGCGUCUGCCGUGAAAGUCCGGGGCUCAACUCCGGAUCUGCGGUGGGUACGGGCAGACUAGAGUGAUGUAGGGGAGACUGGAAUUCCUGGUGUAGCGGUGAAAUGCGCAGAUAUCAGGAGGAACACCGAUGGCGAAGGCAGGUCUCUGGGCAUUAACUGACGCUGAGGAGCGAAAGCAUGGGGAGCGAACAGGAUUAGAUACCCUGGUAGUCCAUGC
rnacentral:rRNA from 1 species